AAAAAAGGUAAGCUACUAAGAGCGAAUGGUGGAUGCCUUGACUGGUAAAGGCGAUGAAGGACGUACUAGACUGCGAUAAGCUACGGGGAGCUGUCAAGAAGCUUUGAUCCGUAGAUUUCCGAAUGGGGCAACCCAAUGUAUAGAGAUAUACAUUACCUAUAUAGGAGCGAACGAGGGGAAUUGAAACAUCUUAGUACCCUCAGGAAAAGAAAUCAAUAGAGAUUGCGUCAGUAGCGGCGAGCGAAAGCGCAAGAGGGCAAACCCAGUGCUUGCACUGGGGGUUGUAGGACUGCAAUAUGCAAGAGGUAAGUUUAGCAGAACAUUCUGGAAAGUAUAACCAUAGAGGGUGAUAGUCCCGUAUGCGAAAAACAAACCUUAGCUAGCAGUAUCCUGAGUAGGGCGGGACACGAGGAAUCCUGUCUGAAUCCGGGUCGACCACGAUCCAACCCUAAAUACUAAUACCAGAUCGAUAGUGCACAAGUACCGUGAGGGAAAGGUGAAAAGAACUGAGGUGAUCAGAGUGAAAUAGAACCUGAAACCAUUUGCUUACAAUCAUUCAGAGCCCUAUGUAGCAAUACAGGGUGAUGGACUGCCUUUUGCAUAAUGAGCCUGCGAGUUGUGGUGUCUGGCAAGGUUAAGCAAACGCGAAGCCGUAGCGAAAGCGAGUCUGAAUAGGGCGCUUAGUCAGAUGCUGCAGACCCGAAACGAAGUGAUCUAUCCAUGAGCAAGUUGAAGCUAGUGUAAGAACUAGUGGAGGACUGAACCCAUAGGCGUGAAAAGCCCCGGGAUGACUUGUGGAUAGGGGUGAAAGGCCAAUCAAACUUCGUGAUAGCUGGUUCUCUCCGAAAUAUAUUUAGGUAUAGCGUUGUGUCGUAAUAUAAGGGGGUAGAGCACUGAAUGGGCUAGGGCAUACACCAAUGUACCAAACCCUAUCAAACUCCGAAUACCUUAUAUGUAAUCACAGCAGUCAGGCGGCGAGUGAUAAAAUCCGUCGUCAAGAGGGAAACAACCCAGACUACCAGCUAAGGUCCCUAAGUCUUACUUAAGUGGAAAACGAUGUGAAGUUACUUAAACAACCAGGAGGUUGGCUUAGAAGCAGCCAUCCUUUAAAGAAAGCGUAAUAGCUCACUGGUCUAGUGAUUUUGCGCGGAAAAUAUAACGGGGCUAAAGUAAGUACCGAAGCUGUAGACUUAGUUUACUAAGUGGUAGGAGAGCGUUCUAUUUGCGUCGAAGGUAUACCGGUAAGGAGUGCUGGAGCGAAUAGAAGUGAGCAUGCAGGCAUGAGUAGCGAUAAUUAAUGUGAGAAUCAUUAACGCCGUAAACCCAAGGUUUCCUACGCGAUGCUCGUCAUCGUAGGGUUAGUCGGGUCCUAAGUCGAGUCCGAAAGGGGUAGACGAUGGCAAAUUGGUUAAUAUUCCAAUACCAACAUUAGUGUGCGAUGGAAGGACGCUUAGGGCUAAGGGGGCUAGCGGAUGGAAGUGCUAGUCUAAGGUCGUAGGAGGUUAUACAGGCAAAUCCGUAUAACAAUACUCCGAGAACUGAAAGGCUUUUUGAAGUCUUCGGAUGGAUAGAAGAACCCCUGAUGCCGUCGAGCCAAGAAAAGUUUCUAAGUUUAGCUAAUGUUGCCCGUACCGUAAACCGACACAGGUGGGUGGGAUGAGUAUUCUAAGGCGCGUGGAAGAACUCUCUUUAAGGAACUCUGCAAAAUAGCACCGUAUCUUCGGUAUAAGGUGUGGUUAGCUUUGUAUUAGGAUUUACUCCGAAAGCAAGGAAACUUACAACAAAGAGUCCCUCCCGACUGUUUACCAAAAACACAGCACUCUGCUAACUCGUAAGAGGAUGUAUAGGGUGUGACGCCUGCCCGGUGCUCGAAGGUUAAUUGAUGGGGUUAGCAUUAGCGAAGCUCUUGAUCGAAGCCCGAGUAAACGGCGGCCGUAACUAUAACGGUCCUAAGGUAGCGAAAUUCCUUGUCGGUUAAAUACCGACCUGCAUGAAUGGCGUAACGAGAUGGGAGCUGUCUCAAAGAGGGAUCCAGUGAAAUUGUAGUGGAGGUGAAAAUUCCUCCUACCCGCGGCAAGACGGAAAGACCCCGUGGACCUUUACUACAGCUUGACACUGCUACUUGGAUAAGAAUGUGCAGGAUAGGUGGGAGGCUUUGAGUAUAUGACGCCAGUUGUAUAUGAGCCAUUGUUGAGAUACCACUCUUUCUUAUUUGGGUAGCUAACCAGCUUGAGUUAUCCUCAAGUGGGACAAUGUCUGGUGGGUAGUUUGACUGGGGCGGUCGCCUCCCAAAUAAUAACGGAGGCUUACAAAGGUUGGCUCAGAACGGUUGGAAAUCGUUCGUAGAGUAUAAAGGUAUAAGCCAGCUUAACUGCAAGACAUACAAGUCAAGCAGAGACGAAAGUCGGUCUUAGUGAUCCGGUGGUUCUGUGUGGAAGGGCCAUCGCUCAAAGGAUAAAAGGUACCCCGGGGAUAACAGGCUGAUCUCCCCCAAGAGCUCACAUCGACGGGGAGGUUUGGCACCUCGAUGUCGGCUCAUCGCAUCCUGGGGCUGGAGCAGGUCCCAAGGGUAUGGCUGUUCGCCAUUUAAAGCGGUACGCGAGCUGGGUUCAGAACGUCGUGAGACAGUUCGGUCCCUAUCUGCCGUGGGCGUAAGAAGAUUGAAGAGAUUUGACCCUAGUACGAGAGGACCGGGUUGAACAAACCACUGGUGUAGCUGUUGUUCUGCCAAGAGCAUCGCAGCGUAGCUAAGUUUGGAAAGGAUAAACGCUGAAAGCAUCUAAGCGUGAAGCCAACUCUAAGAUGAAUCUUCUCUAAGCUCUCUAGAAGACUACUAGUUUGAUAGGCUGGGUGUGUAAUGGAUGAAAGUCCUUUAGCUGACCAGUACUAAUAGAGCGUUUGGCUUAUCUUUAAUAAAGCAU
rnacentral:rRNA from 1 species